rnacentral:snRNA from 1 species
GUGUUCCCUCCAGCAGCACAUAUACUAAAAUUGGAAUGAUACAGAGACGAUUGGCAUAGCCCCUGCCCAAGGAUGACAUGCAAAUUCUA